rnacentral:rRNA from 1 species
CAGUCGCCGCGGGAAUACGUAGGGUGCAAGCGUUAAUCGGAAUUACUGGGCGUAAAGCGUGCGCAGGCGGUUUGUUAAGACAGAUGUGAAAUCCCCGGGCUCAACCUGGGAACUGCAUUUGUGACUGGCAAGCUAGGGUGUGGCAGAGGGGGGUGGAAUUCCGCGUGUAGCAGUGAAAUGCGUAGAUAUGCGGAGGAACACCGAUGGCGAAGGCAGCCCCCUGGGCCAACACUGACGCUCAUGCACGAAAGCGUGGGGAGCAAACAGGAUUAGAGACCCGCGUAGUCCCUGUCUCUUAUAC